rnacentral:tRNA from 1 species
AUCUAGAUAGUUUAAUAAAAAUAUUGAUUUGUGGUAUCAAAGUUAUAAAUUUUUAUUUUAGAUU